rnacentral:rRNA from 1 species
GAUGAACGCUGGCGGCGUGCCUAAUACAUGCAAGUCGAGCGAACGGACGAGAAGCUUGCUUCUCUGAUGUUAGCGGCGGACGGGUGAGUAACACGUGGAUAACCUACCUAUAAGACUGGGAUAACUUCGGGAAACCGGAGCUAAUACCGGAUGAUAUUUUGAACCGCAUGGUUCAAAAGUGAAAGACGGUCUUGCUGUCACUUCUAGCUGGAUACGCGCUGCAUUAGCUAGUUGGUAAGGUAACGGCUUACCAAGGCAACGAUGCGUAGCCGACCUGUGGGAGUGAUCGCCGACACGGGAGCGGAGACACCGUCCAGGCUCCUACGGGAGGCAGCAGUAUGGAAUCUUCCGCAAUAGGCGAAAGCCUGACGGAGCAGCGCCACGUGAGUGAUGGAGGUCUUCGGAUCGUAAAACUCUGUUAUUAGGGAAGAACAUAUGUGUAAGUAACUGUACACAUCUUGACGGUACCUAAUCAGAAAGCCACGGCUAACUACGUG